UGGGGAAUCUUGCACAAUGGGCGAAAGCCUGAUGCAGCGACGCCGCGUGCGGGAUGAAGGCCUUCGGGUUGUAAACCGCUUUCAGCAGGGACGAGGCGAAAGUGACGGUACCUGCAGAAGAAGCCCCGGCUAACUACGUGCCAGCAGCCGCGGUAAUACGUAGGGGGCAAGCGUUAUCCGGAUUCAUUGGGCGUAAAGCGCUCGUAGGCGGUCUGUUAGGUCGGGAGUUAAAUCCGGGGGCUCAACCCCCGCUCGCUCCCGAUACCGGCAGACUUGAGUUUGGUAGGGGAAGGUGGAACUCCUAGUGUAGCGGUGGAAUGCGCAGAUAUUAGGAAGAACACCAGUGGCGAAGGCGGCCUUCUGGGCCAUAACUGACGCUGAGGAGCGAAAGCUAGGGGAGCAAACAGGAUUAGAUACCCUGGUAGUCCUAGCCGUAAACGAUGGACACUAGGUGUGGGGGAAUAUUUCUUCCGUGCCGCAGCUAACGCAUUAAGUGUCCUGCCUGGGGAGUACGGCCAACAAGGCUA
rnacentral:rRNA from 1 species